GAUCAUGGCUCAGGAUGAACGCUGGCGGCGUGCCUAACACAUGCAAGUCGAACGAAGCAUACGGACCGGAGAUUCGUCGAAGGACUGUAUGACUUAGUGGCGGACGGGUGAGUAAUGUAUGAGCAGCCUGCCUUUCAGAGGGGGACAACAGUUGGAAACGACUGCUAAUACCGCGUAAUGUAUCGUGGGGGCAUCCUCGUGAAUACCAAAAGGAGCAAUCCGCUGAAAGAUGGGCUCAUAUCUGAUUAGCUUGUUGGCGGGGUAACGGCCCACCAAGGCGACGAUCAGUAGCCGGACUGAGAGGUUGAACGGCCACAUUGGGACUGAGAUACGGCCCAGACUCCUACGGGAGGCAGCAGUGGGGAAUAUUGGGCAAUGGGCGAAAGCCCUGACCCAGCAACGCCGCGUGAAGGAAGAAGGUCUUCGGAUUGUAAACUUCUUUUAUGAGGGACGAAGGACGUGACGGUACCUCACGAAUAAGCCACGGCUAACUACGUGCCAGCCGCGGC
rnacentral:rRNA from 1 species